rnacentral:rRNA from 1 species
CCUGAGAAACGGCUACCACAUCCAAGGAAGGCAGCAGGCGCGCAAAUUACCCACUCCCGGCACGGGGAGGUAGUGACGAAAAAUAACGAUACGGGACUCUUACGAGGCCUCGUAAUCGGAAUGAGUACACUUUAAAUAUUUUAACGAGGAACAAUUGGAGGGCAAGUCUGGUGCCAGCAGCCGCGGUAAUUCCAGCUCCAAUAGCGUAUACUAAAAUUGUUGCGGUUAAAAAGCUCGUAGUUGCAUUUGUGCGCCGCGCUGUCGGUGCCACGCAUCCGGCUAUACUGACACGUCUGCGGAACGUAUCGUCGGUGAGCCGGCGGUAAUAGGUCGUUCAAUACCAACUCAAAAUCCUAUCGCGGUGCUCUUCGGUGAGUGUCGAGGUGGGCCGACAAUUUUACUUUGAACAAAUUAGAGUGCUCAAAGCGGGCCAAAAUGCGGCNUGAAUAUUUCGUGCAUGGAAUAAUAGAAUAUGAUCUCGGUUCUAUUUUGUUGGUUUUCAGAACUCCGAGGUAAUGAUUAAUAGGGANAACUGGGGGCAUGGUGAAAUUCUUGGAUCGGUGAAAUUCUUGGACCGUCGCAAGACGAACAUCAGCGAAAGCAUUUGCCAAAGGUGUUUUCAUCAAUCAAGAACGAAAGUUAGAGGUUCGAAGGCGAUUAGAUACCCGCCUAGUUCUAACCGUAAAUNAUGUCAUCUAGCGAUCCGCCGACGUUACUACAAUGGCUCGGCGGGCAGCUUCCGGGAAACCAAAGAUUUUGGUCUCCGGGGGAGUAUGGUUGCAAAGCUGAAACUUAAAGGAAUUGACGGAAGGGCACCACCAGGAGUGGAGCCUGCGGCUUAAUUUGACUCAACACGGGAAAUCUCACCAGGCCCGGACACCGGAAGGAUUGACAGAUUAACAGCUCUUUCUUGAUUCGGUGGGUGGUGGUGCAUGGCCGUUCUUAGUUGGUGGAGCGAUUUGUCUGGUUAAUUCCGAUAACGAACGAGACUC